rnacentral:tRNA from 1 species
GAGGGUAUAGCUCAGUGAUAGAGUGUGUGCUUAGCAUGUACUGAGGUCCUGGGUUCAAUCUCCAGUACCUCCA